UUUUUAAGAACCCAGUAGAAAAGGAGGGCCUUGCAGCUCAUCUGCAUUACAGAUCAGGCCUCUUGGAGAAAAUCAAGCAUCCAUAAUUCAUUACAUGCUUCCUGCAGGGCCUGGAGACGGCCGAGGCCCUAGCAACAGAGACAUAGCAACAGCGGCCGGCCCCAGCCAAUCGGCGGGCCGCUUUCUGACGCCGCUCAGCCAAUCCAAGGGGGUGGCAGAGACGGAGGCGCAGUCGCCCAUCGGGCAGCACCGCCCAGGCGCGAGGCUGCGCGGGGCGGUGCCGUUAGCGGUUCGACCUGCUGGGAAGCUGAUGGGGGAGGGGGGGGUUCGUUUGUUCUGUGGAAAUGAGGUGCUUUUGGGAAGUCUGUCCAACCAAACCUAAACAGCAAGAGAAUAUAUUCUGAAGCGUUUCUAUCUUGAGGAUGAGUUCUGUAAGGGAAAAGGCUGGCAGAAAUAACCUGCUCCAACUCACGCUCCACAACUGCGAGAUCUGCUUCUGAAAGGAUCGCCUUGAAAAACUGAUAUUUUUUUCCCUAAGUUGCUCCCUACAACAAUAAUUACCGCUCAGCGACGUUGCCCUUCCACACAAAUAGCUUGUGUUGCCUCCUGUGCCACAGCCAUUGUUCUGCAGUGACACAGAACAAAGCGAAAAUGAAGGAAGUGGGGACGCGGAGUUGGAGAAAACAAAAAGCCGGUGUGGUGGAAGCUGCAAUGGAAGUGCAGAAAGCAUCGAGCCUUCCCACACGCAGUUCAUUUGUGGAGUUUUGUUAAGUGCUGGAAAGUCAUAGUGCUGUUACGUGCACAAAAAUGUGUAAUUUCCUUUAGUGAGUGGGAGGGAAGGUGCUGAGUUUUGUUUGAAUUAAGUAAGUGUACAGUAAAUAGGAAAGCUUCUUGAUCCCUAAAGGCACAGAAUUGCGGCUUAUUGCAGCCAUCGUGUUCUCUAAAAUAAUUCAUUUUUUCUCAGAAUGGCAUAAGGAAAUACUUUUCUUUAAAUAUUUGUAUUUAACUGAAAUUUUAAAAUACCCCGUGUCCAUUUAUAUGCAGGUACAGAGGUUUAUAAAUCCUGUUAUAAAACUGUAUCUGUUUUUGUUUAUCUUUGGGGAAAAUGAAAAGCAGUCAUUUAUCCAAACCUGAACAUUGCACUUGAAGCCACGAUGCUGCAGGUUAUCUCAGCGAGCGU